GAGGAAUUUUGGACAAUGGGCGAAAGCCUGAUCCAGCGACGCCACGUGAGUGAUGAAAGCCUUAGGGUUGUAAAGCUCUUUCAGUAGGGAAGAUAAUGACGGUACCUACAGAAGAAGCCCCGGCUAACUUCGUGCCAGCAGCCGCGGUAAUACGAAGGGGGCUAGCGUUGCUCGGAAUUACUGGGCGUAAAGCGUGCGCAGGCGGCAUAGUAAGUCGGAAGUGAAAUCCCGGGGCUUAACCCCGGAAUGGCUUUCGAUACUGCUAAGCUAGAGUACUAGAGAGGAUGAUGGAAUUCCUAAUGUAGAGGUGAAAUUCGUAGAUAUUAGGAGGAAUACCGGUGGCGAAAGCG
rnacentral:rRNA from 1 species